CUUGAGCCUGUGGACUUAGACAAAUUACAUCACUGUCCUUCUUCCUGGUUCUCAAGGCUGAAGAUAUCACAUUAUCCUGGGACUUUAUGACCUUCAUAGUCCAUAAAUUUGAUCCGAAUGAGCUACUUUACGCAUUUAGCUUACAGCUCCCUGGUUUCAGCAAGGGUGACACAGAGAAAGCAGAAACUCUGGAUCAAGGGCCCUGCUCAGGCUAUCAUUGGGUCCAGUGAUCUUACAAAAGCUGCAGAGCCUACAGAGCUACAUCUUGAGAGCUCCACAUCUCCUCCUGGCCCUGACCCAGCUACCCUACCUUUUCUGAAUUUGACUCAGCACCAGCGAACCACAAGAAAAUAAAAUCAUCUCUAACCAGACAGAGGGUUUUCAAGACAGAAAGGAGAGAUCAGGACCUAGACACAUACAGAGAAAAGAUAUGAAGACAAAAGAUGAAGCUAGUCAGCUAUGAGUAAAGAAGAGAAGCCGCAGAAGAAACCAAGCCUGGUGAUCGUGACUGAAACUUUUAACCUCCAGAUCUGUGAGACAAGUGAUUUCUGUUUUAUUUAAGCCAGCAGUCAGUGCUACUUUGCUACCUUAGUGGUAGCAAACAAACUCAGGUGAUGUUCUCCUCUUUCAGUAUGGCAUAUUUUGAGAAAGAAGAAAGGGGCCUAUCGUGCAAUAGAAUGUAUUUGCUUUUAUUUUUUUCACUCAGACUGCUGAUAGACAUGUUUAUAGCACCAAAUUAGAUGUAGGUAGCAGUGAUAAGUGAAGUCAACACAUCAAAACCCAGAAUGAAUAGUGUAUGUGUGAGCACCAGCCCCUGAAAUGCUCAUCUCUCCCCCUGCUCAUUUCCCUUACCCACAACACUGCCAUCAUCAAAGGUGCAUUUGAAAUGCAGAAAACCUUAAUCAUCCAAAAAUUCAAAACCUUAAUAGACCCUGUCAUGUUGUAGCAUGCUGGCUGAUCAAGAUGAGUUAAAAGGGGUAGCCAAAGCUUUUUAGGUACAUGCAAAUAAGGCUGCCAGACUUGCAGAACUUCAGGGAUUCUUUCAAAUGCAGUAUCAGGAUAAGAACAGGCUCAUACCUUCUUUCCGAAGAUUUCAGACACUGGAGAGAAAAACUGCACCUGGGUCUAUUGGACUUGUGGCAUAUCCCAACAAGGUUAAAGCCAAAUGGUUGGGGAUAGAGAAAAUGAAGAGCAGUAGCCUAGUUCAGGUCCAAGAUGGUAUCUUCUUAACAGCUACAAAACACAGAUACAUAGGAAUAUUGGCAAGCUGCCUGGCAUAGCAAG